GACCGGCCACACUGGGACUGAGACACGGCCCAGACUCCUACGGGAGGCAGCAGUGGGGAAUAUUGCACAAUGGGCGAAAGCCUGAUGCAGCGACGCCGCGUGAGGGAUGACGGCCUUCGGGUUGUAAACCUCUUUCAGCAGGGAAGAAGCGAAAGUGACGGUACCUGCAGAAGAAGCGCCGGCUAACUACGUGCCAGCAGCCGCGGUAAUACGUAGGGCGCAAGCGUUGUCCGGAAUUAUUGGGCGUAAAGAGCUCGUAGGCGGCUUGUCGCGUCGGUUGUGAAAGCCCGGGGCUUAACCCCGGGUCUGCAGUCGAUACGGGCAGGCUAGAGUUCGGUAGGGGAGAUCGGAAUUCCUGGUGUAGCGGUGAAAUGCGCAGAUAUCAGGAGGAACACCGGUGGCGAAGGCGGAUCUCUGGGCCGAUACUGACGCUGAGGAGCGAAAGCGUGGGGAGCGAACAGGAUUAGAUACCCUGGUAGUCCACGCCGUAAACGGUGGGCACUAGGUGUGGGCAACAUUCCACGUUGUCCGUGCCGCAGCUAACGCAUUAAGUGCCCCGCUG
rnacentral:rRNA from 1 species